UACAGAGGGUGCAAGCGUUGUUCGGAAUUAUUGGGCGUAAAGGGCGCGUAGGCGGUGCGGUAAGUCUGUAGUGAAAUCUCUGGGCUCAACUCAGAGUCUGCUGCAGAAACUGCCGUGCUUGAGUGUGGGAGAGGUGAGUGGAAUUCCCGGUGUAGCGGUGAAAUGCGUAGAUAUCGGGAAGAACACCCGUGGCGAAGGCGGUUCUCUGGGACGGUACUGACGCUGAGACGCGAAAGCGUGGGGAGCGAACAGG
rnacentral:rRNA from 1 species